rnacentral:rRNA from 1 species
GACGAACGCUGGCGGCGUGCCUAAUACAUGCAAGUAGAACGCAGUUGCGAAAGGGUGAGUAACGGGUAGGUAACUGCCUCAGAGCGGGGGAUAACUAUUGGAGACGAAAGCUAAUACCGCAUACUGUGAGAUGGAACUGUGUUGUAUUAGCUAGUUGGUGAGGUAAAGGCGCACCAAGGCGACGAUACAAAGCCGACCUGAGAGGGUGACUGGCGCCACUGUGACUGGUUCACGGCCCGGAUGCCUACGGGAGGCAGCAGUAGGGAAUCUUCGGCAAUGGACGGAGGUCUGACUGAGCAACUCGGCGUGAGUGAAGACGGCUUUCGGAUCUUAAAGCUCUGUGGUCAGAGAUUCGGUAACUAACCAGAAAGGGACGGCUAACUACGUGCCAGCAGCCGCGGUAAUUC